GUAGUUGGAUUCGCAUCAAUCCACAUGUGUUGGGGUGGAUUGGUGUGGAAUUUAGAUUAAAUUCCACUCUAAUCCACCCCAACACAUGUAGAUUGAGGUGAAUCCGACA
rfam:Sorghum bicolor cultivar BTx623 chromosome 4, whole genome shotgun sequence.